CGUCAUUGAGCGACUAGGAUAUAUAACACGAGGCAAACGCGAACAAGUUCUUUCUCUUCUGAAGUAGCAAAGCAAGAAUGUGUGUUGAAAGAAAUGUCGAUGAAAAAUACGUCUCUAUUCUGGUCUUUUCCGAGGACUACACUAAUUUAUGAUUUCAAAGGAGGAGAUUUAGGCAGCUUUAUCCUUCAUCCUCAAUUAAUUUCCUAUGAAUCGCUGUGUCUUGUGAAUCUCAGAUUUGUAUGUUUUAUGUAUUAUUGCAACUCGAAUCCCAAUAAAAGUUCUUGUUUGUUAAAA